AAAAAAAUCAACGGUAAAAAGUUGUGGCAAGAAAGAAUGAAAUUCGAUAAAAAAGGAUGAAAAAAAAAAGAAAAAAAGAAAGAGAGAAGAAAACAGACUCCUUUCUUCGAACUAAUUUUAUGUUAAAUUUUUACCUUUAAUAACAACGAACUCACAUUGAUAGCAAUUUUCAUAAGAGCCUUUGAUUGAUUUACAAAUAUACCAGGAAAGCAAUUAUUCGAAUAGUUUUCGAUUUUUCUUGAUUACGUAAGUUUUAUCAAGUUUACAUUGUUUGCCACAUGCCCUACUCGAACGUAACGUCGAACUGACUUCUACUGACUCGUUAACUUCGAAAAAAGGAAAAAAAAAGAAAAAGAGAGAAAGAGGAAGAUAGAGAGAAAGAGAGAGAGAGAGAGAGAGAGAGAGAGAGAA